UAGGGAAUCUUCGGCAAUGGACGAAAGUCUGACCGAGCAACGCCGCGUGAGUGAAGAAGGUUUUCGGAUCGUAAAACUCUGUUGUUAGAGAAGAACAAGGACGUUAGUAACUGAACGUCCCCUGACGGUAUCUAACCAGAAAGCCACGGCUAACUACGUGCCAGCAGCCGCGGUAAUACGUAGGUGGCAAGCGUUGUCCGGAUUUAUUGGGCGUAAAGCGAGCGCAGGCGGUUUCUUAAGUCUGAUGUGAAAGCCCCCGGCUCAACCGGGGAGGGUCAUUGGAAACUGGGAGACUUGAGUGCAGAAGAGGAGAGUGGAAUUCCAUGUGUAGCGGUGAAAUGCGUAGAUAUAUGGAGGAACACCAGUGGCGAAGGCGGCUCUCUGGUCUGUAACUGACGCUGAGGCACGAAAGCGUGGGGAGCAAACAGG
rnacentral:rRNA from 1 species